rnacentral:rRNA from 1 species
UACGGAGGGUGCAAGCGUUAUCCGGAUUUACUGGGUUUAAAGGGUGCGUAGGUGGGUCUGUAAGUCAGUGGUGAAAUCUUCAAGCUUAACUUGGAAACUGCCAUUGAUACUAUAGAUCUUGAAUUAUCUGGAGGUAAGCGGAAUAUGUCAUGUAGCGGUGAAAUGCUUAGAUAUGACAUAGAACACCCAUUGCGAAGGCAGCUUACUACGGAUUGAUUGACACUGAGGCACGAAAAGCGUGGGGGAUCAAACAGG